GAUAAACGCUGGCGGCGUGCCUAAUGCAUGCAAGUCGCACGGGGUGUCCCGUUCGGGGGCAUCGAGUGGGCGAACGGGUGAGGAACGCGUGGACAACCUACCCCGGCGUGGGGGAGUACCCGCCAGAAAUAGGCGGCUAAUACCGCGUACGGUCGCCCGACGGAGGGUUGGGCGAAGAAAGCAGCGAUGCGCGCUGGGAGGGGUCUGCGGCCGAUUAGCUUGUUGGCGGGGUGACGGCCCACCAAGGCGANGAUCGGUAGCUGGUCUGAGAGGAUGAUCAGCCACACGGGGACUGAGACACGGCCCCGAC
rnacentral:rRNA from 1 species